rnacentral:lncRNA from 1 species
CUGAGUUUGGUUCACUUUUCAUUUCUGUUUUAACAGGUCAGCACUGAGUUCAAUGCCUCAAAUUGCUGUGCUUUCCCUGCCUCAGUGCACAGAAACCUCUCUGGACCACUCUGGCACUUCUGUCAGGGGAUGAGAAAAGGGUGGUGUCAGUGAUUCAGGACUGUUUUUCUACCUUUUCAGUGUCUGUUUCGGCAAUAUGAAGUUAAAAUCAGCUGUUUUCCCUGCCUGAGAUGUUCUUCCUCCAGAUCAUCAGGUGGACAACUCCUUCUCAUCAUUUUGGGCUCAGGUCUAGUUUUUCCUCCUCAAAGAGAAUUUCUGUGAUCAUUUAAUCUAAGAGAAGAAAUGUGGAAGUGGGAAGUUAAUGAAGAAAAUGGAUGUGCAUCAAGAGACAUGGAUGAAACUGAAGACCAUUAUCUUAAGUGAAACAACUCAGACAAAUAUCAUGUGGAAACUCACUGGGCUGAUGAAUGCAGUCUUCCUGAUGUGAAUGGGAUUGAAGAGCUUGUCAAAAAACAUAAAGCCAACUUCACCCUUGUCACUGAACUGAGACUUUUCAACCAAACCUGUUACACAGAAAAGAAAAUACCGAAAGAAUAUUCAUCAAUCUGUAAAUAGUGAUUAUCUGUGGGGUAUGUGUGGAAAAUUAUAGGAGACUUAAAUAUUCUACAUGAUAGAUUUUUAUAAUAGUUUAUUUUUAUAAUUAGUGUGUUAUGUUUGUAAUUAUAAAUCAACAACAGCAAAAUAUAAUUUAAAGGCUCAGAGUUUUAAUAAAAUAUUUAGAAUUGGAUAAAUUCAUCUAUGUGGCUUUAAAAGUAAAGUUUAAGAUCUCUGUUGGUUAUUUGGCCCUCUGGUUCUAAUCUUUCCAUUUUGGUAAUAUGUCCUGUAAAGAUUAAUCUCUUUCAUUUUCACAACACAUAUUUGUUAAGCACUUACACUAUUCCAGACACUGUUCCAGGUAUUGAGAUUGCAAGAGAUGAUUCUUGACAUGCUAGAAUAGUGCUUCAAUAUGGGAGAUAGGAAAAAAAGAAUUAAAAUGUCGUGCAUAAUUAUGUUAGGGGAAUCUUGGGAAUAGUACUUAGGAAAAUCUUGCAGACAAUUCUUGGGAAAACUACCCACUAUUGCCCAGGGUGUCAAGCAUAGCUUUCUAGCAGAAAGG